GUUCAUCCUGAGCAUAUACUAAAACUGGAACAAUACAGAGAAGAUUAGCAUGGCCCUAGCACGAUGAAAUCUGAAUAUUCGAAAAAAGGCCACCUUCA
rnacentral:snRNA from 1 species